rnacentral:rRNA from 1 species
GACGAACGCUGGCGGCGUGCUUAACACAUGCAAGUCGAACGGUGAAGCACCUUCCUUUUGGUGGGUGUGGAUGAGUGGCGAACGGGUGAGUAACACGUGAGUAACCUGCCCCCUUCUUCUGGAUAACCGCAUGAAAGUGUGGCUAAUACGGGAUAUUCUGGGUCUGUCGCAUGGCGGGCCUGGGAAAGAUAUUGUUUCGGUGGGGGAUGGGCUCGCGGUCUAUCAGCUUGUUGGUGGGGUGAUGGCCUACCAAGGCGGUGACGGGUAGCCGGCCUGAGAGGGUGGACGGUCACACUGGGACUGAGGCACGGCCCAGACUCCUACGGGAGGCAGCAGUGGGGAAUAUUGCACAAUGGGCGCAAGCCUGAUGCAGCGACGCCGCGUGAGGGAUGGAGGCCUGCGGGUUGUAAACCUCUUUCGCCAGUGAAGCAGGCCUGUCCCUUUUGUGGGUGGGUUGACGGUAGCUGGAUAAGAAGCGCCGGCUAACUACGUG